CUGAUGCAGCACGCCGCGUGAGGGAUGAAGGCCUUCGGAUUGUAACCUCUUUCAGUAGGGACGAAACGCAAGUGACCGUACCUGCAAAAGAAGGACCGGCUAACUACAUGACACCCGCCGCAAUAAUACGUAGGGUGCGAGCGUUGUCCUGAAUGGCUGAGCGUGAAGCGCACGUAGGCGGUUUGUCACGUCGUCAGUGACAUCGCUCAGCUUAACCGGGGGCGUGCAGGCGAUACCGGCAGACUUGAGUACAAAAGGGGAGACUGGAAUUCGUGGAGUAGAAGUGAAAUGCCCAGAUAACAAGAGAAACGCCGGAAGCGAAGGCGGAUCUCUGGGUAGAACUGACGCUCAGGAGCGAAAGCGUGCGUAACGAACAAGAUUCCAUGCCAUGGUACUCCAUGCCAUACACGGUGGGCGCUAGGUGUGGGGACCUUCCACGGACUCCGUGCCCUAGCUAACGCAUUAAGCGCCCCGCCUGGGGAGUACGGCCGCAGGCUAAAACUAAGGAAUUGACGGGGCCCGCACAA
rnacentral:rRNA from 1 species